GACGAACCGUGCGAACGUUGUUCGGAAUCACUGGGCUUAAAGGGCACGUAGGCGGGCUCACAAGUCGGGGGUGAAAUCCUGCAGCUUAACUGCAGAAGUGCCUUCGAUACUGUCGGUCUUGAGGGAGAUAGGGGUGUGCGGAACUUCCAGUGGAGCGGUGAAAUGCGUUGAUAUUGGAAGGAACGCCGGAGGCGAAAGCGGCGCACUGGAUCUCUACUGACGCUGAGGCGCGAAAGCCAGGGGAGCAAACGGG
rnacentral:rRNA from 1 species